rnacentral:lncRNA from 1 species
AAUGGGAAAGAGAACUGAUGGAUGCUUCAUAAGCUACUAUUCAAUGCCAACUGCGCCAUUGUCUUUAAAAAAGAACAUCUUUUUCUUUUUAGAAUUGAGUAAGGAGACAUUACAGAUAUUUUUUAAAGUGGCGUAUGAUUUUUUUUUUAGAGCAGAAAGAGAUAGAAAUAGGACAGUAUUUAUCUACCCAAAAGAACAAUUUUACCGAUAUUAUAAUGGUUAGGAACCUGAGUGUUCUGGAAUCUGAGUCGCUGGAUUUAAAUUGUAUCUCCAUCUCUUACUAGCUGUAUGACUUCAGGGAUCUUCAGAGAUUCUCUACAAAGGGAGGAAGAAAUUGAUGACUAAAGGAAGGAGGGAUAAAGCCAUGAAGAUGUUUCAAAUACACAGACUGCACACGCGUCUGGGAGUUGCAGGUCCUUCUAGUUGUGGCAUAUGGGACGCCACCUCAACGUGGCCUGACGAGCGGUGCCAUGUCCAUGCAAAGGAUCCAAACCAGCGAAACCCUGGGCCGCCGCAGCGGAGCACGCGAACUUAACCACUUGGGCACCGGGCCGGCCCCGCAUUUUUGUUUUAAAUAGACUUUUUAAUUUAGAAUAGUUUUAGAUUUACAGAACACUUGCCAAAAAAAUAGUACAGGCUAUUUCCGUAUUUACCCAGUGCCCAGUGUUCCCUGUUGUUAAGAUGUUACAUUAGUAUGAGACAUUUGUCACAACUAAUGAACCGAUAUUGAUACAUUAUUGUUACCUGAAGCUCCUAUCUUCUUCAGAUGUGUUUAAUUUUUACCUAGUCUUUUGUCUGUUCCAGGAUCCCAUCUAGGAUAUUGCAUCACAUUUAGUCGCCAUGUCUGUUUAGGCUCCUCUAAACUGCGACAGAUUUUUAGACUUCGCUUCUUUUGGGUGACCUUGAUGCUUUGGAGGAAUACUGGUCAGAUACUUUGUAGAAAGUCCCUCUACUUGAGUUUGUCUGAUCUUUUUCUCUUGCUUCAACUGGGAUUAUGGUUUUGGGAAGGAAGACCACAGAGGUAAAGUGCCAUUCUCGUCACAUCCUAUCAAAGGUACAAUAUCACCACGAUGUACCACUGAUGACAUUAAUCUUCCACACAUUUGCCUCCUUUCCAUACUGUACUCUUUGGAAGAAGGUCCCUGUGUACUGUCCACAUUUAAGGGGUAGGAAGUUAUGCUCCACCUUCCUAAGAGGGCAGUAUCUACAUAAAUUUUUUUUCUUUUUUUGAGGAAGAUUAGCCCUGAGCUAAGUACUGCCAGUCCUCCUCUUUUUUGCUGAAGAAGCCUGGCCCUGAGCUAACAUCCGUGCCCAUCUUCCUCUACUUUGUAUGUGGGACACCUACCACAGCAUGGCAUGCCACGUGGUGCCAUGUCCACACCCAGGAUCCAAACCAGCAAACCCCAGGCCACUGAGAAGCGGGACGUGCGAAAUUAACCGCUGUGCCACCGGGCCAGCCCCUAC